GGGUCAGCAGGUUGGUCGUGCCACCGGUACGUACUGGUCUCACUGAUUCCUCCUUCCUGAAGAACCGUAAUGCCAUUAAUUUGGUGUUGCGGGGAAACAGGACUGUUACUUUGAAAAAAUUAGAGUGUUUAAAGCAAGCUAAUGCUUGAAUACAUUAGCAUGGAAUAAUGAAAUAGGACGAUCGAUCCUAUUUUGUUGGUUUCUAGGAUUGACGUA
rnacentral:rRNA from 1 species